GUGGGGAAUUUUGGACAAUGGGCGCAAGCCUGAUCCAGCAAUGCCGCGUGCAGGAAGAAGGCCUUCGGGUUGUAAACUGCUUUUGUACGGAACGAAACGGUCCGGGUUAAUACCCUGGGCUAAUGACGGUACCGUAAGAAUAAGCACCGGCUAACUACGUUCCAGCAGCCGCGGUAAUACGUAGGGUGCAAGCGUUAAUCGGAAUUACUGGGCGUAAAGCGUGCGCAGGCGGUUUUGUAAGACAGGCGUGAAAUCCCCGGGCUCAACCUGGGAAUUGCGCUUGUGACUGCAAGGCUGGAGUGCGGCAGAGGGGGAUGGAAUUCCGCGUGUAGCAGUGAAAUGCGUAGAUAUGCGGAGGAACACCGAUGGCGAAGGCAAUCCCCUGGGCCUGCACUGACGCUCAUGCACGAAAGCGUGGGGAGCAAACAGGAUUAGAAACCCCUGUAGUCC
rnacentral:rRNA from 1 species